rnacentral:rRNA from 1 species
AUGAUUCGAAGGGUUGCUACUGACCUAAAGGACUGGGACAAGAAUGUGUUGGGCAAUCUGGAUAAGAGAAUUAAGAAGUUGCGAAAGGAUUUUGAGGAGGUGAGAAGAGGAGAGAUCAGCCAGGAGGGGGUAAGAAGAGAACACUACCUCCGAGAGAAGCUGGACCGAUUAGAGCAUCAAAAAGACAUUUACUGGAAGCAGCGGGCUCACGUCAAAUGGUUGCAAGAAGGUGAUAAAAAUACCGUGUUCUUCCAUGCAUUUGCUUCAGAAAGAAAAAAGAGAAACAUGAUUAUGAAACUAAAAAGGGAUGGUGGAAGCUGGGUUGAGGGAGAAACCCCUCUAAAAGAGCAUAUUGCAAAUUAUUUCUUCAACAUAUUCUCCUCCUCGGCACAGAAUAAUAAUGAAGAAAUCCUGCAUGCUGUGCGCCCAAAAGUGACAGGGGAAAUGAAUAGCAUCUUGUGUGCGGAAUAUACUGAGGAGGAGGUUAGAGCAGCCUUAAAUUGCAUUGGUGACUUAAAAUCUCCUGGACCAGAUGGGAUGCCAGCAAUCUUCUUCAAAAAGUUCUGGCCAAUUGUGGGGGAUCAAGUGGUGAAGGAAGUGUUGUGCACCUUGCGAGGGGGUGACAUGCCUGAAGGAUGGAAUGACACACUUAUUGUGCUCAUCCCGGAGAAUUCUAAUCCAAGGAAAAUUAAAGACCUUAGGCCCAUAAGCCUUUGCAAUGUGGUGUAUAAAAUUAUCUCCAAGAGGGAAAGAAGUGGCGCAACGGGGUAUGCAGCAAUCAAACUAGACAUGACUAAAGCUUAUGACCGCGUCGAAUGGCCCUUCUUGAAGGAUAUGAUGGAAAAAUUGGGCUUUAAUAGAGAUUGGAUUAAAUUGAUCAUGAAGUGCAUUACCACUGUCAAAUACCAGAUCAAAGUCAACACAGAUGUCACUGACACAAUUAUACCCCAACGAGGUCUUCACCAAGGAGAUCCUCUUUCACCAUAUCUUUUCCUAAUCUAUACGGAGGGGUUCUCAGCCAUGCUUCACAAGGCCGAACUGAAUGGUUCACUCACAGGAAUCAGAAUCUGUAGGGGAGCCCCUAGUGUUAGCCACCUACUUUUUGCGGACGAUUCUUUGCUGCUGAUGGAGGCUAACUCUAAGAAUGCCCAACAAGUUAACCGCAUUCUGAACACAUAUGAAGCCUACUCUAGUCAAAUGAUUAAUAAAGAUAAGUCAUCAAUCAUGUUUAGCAAGAACACAAACGGAAGCCAAAAACAAGAAAUCAGGGAUAUCUUACAGAUCAAUGUGGAGGGCCUAUCAUCAAAAUAUCUAGGCCUUCCAACAUAUGUAGGACAAGCGAGGGCAAAGACUUUCGAAUAUGUAAAGGAAAGAAUUUGGAAAAAGAUCCAAGGUUGGAAGGAGACGUUGCUCUCGAAGGCAGGAAAGGAAACCUUGAUAAAAGCCAUAGCACAAACAAUUCCUGUCUAUAUUGUGGCAUGUUUUGACAUCACCAAGGGCCUGUGUGAAGAAUUGAACACCAUGAUUAACAGGUAUUGGUGGAGUCAAGUUGACAAGGAAAACAAAGUGCACCGGGUAAGCUAG